ACAGAUUUGAUGACUAGCCUUCCUGAUCUCCUCAUCCACAUACAGUUACCCCCGCCAGCACCACAGACUCCUCGGCCACAGCUGGAGGACAACGAGAAAGUGCAUUAAAUAAUCAAUGGCAGCAGCGGAACACACCUGUCGCCUCCAAACCGACUGAUGUGAUGGUGGUGUACAGCGUGUGUAGGCCGUGACGUCACUCAAUAUGGCUGCCAGGCUUGGACCAGAGGAGUUGGAUGUUCCUAAGAUCGUAAGGUUUUAUUUUCCUUAACCGCAGACAUGAGAGUUGAGCUAACCUAACCUUACCUUAACCCUACCCUACUUAUAGCACACACAGAGGAGGUGAAAAGGUGUGCUUCAAGACUCAACCUAAACAAGAUAUUUUCUGGCGCCUUUGUUUCGAUGCAAAUGAACACCUUGAGAACAGGUGCCCGGCCACAGGUGUGUGAGACUAUUACCUGAUCUCUUGCUGUGCUCCCUCCUUCCUUCCUUCACUCACCCAUUCUGUUCUUCCUGCCUUCCCUUCCCCCAUCUUUCAC